GUUCAUGUGGCUUUUUUUUUUCUCCACCCACUGAGCUGAUUUUAUUCUCUUUUGUCCACAGAGCCAGUGGGGAACUUGGGUGGUUCUUUUCUGUCUUCUGCAUGUGGUUUGUGAAGUUGUCUCAGAACUAACGGGUUGGAACUGAGAGCUAUUGUGGAGCCUGAUCCUUUUGUGACAAGUCCUAGAACUGAAAAGGGGAUCUGUUAUCGGAAUCCUAUUGUCAUAUACACGACCUACCUCAAGUGGCCAAAUAUUUUCUAAGGAACUUGUGGGCAUUCUAAAGCUGAUGGAUCUGCUGUAGAAGAAUGGACAUUCUCCCUAAGCAAGCCCAGAUGAAGCCAGCUUGCAGGGUUCACAACUAGAUAUGAAGGAUGGUUACACUUCUCCUCUGGUGGCAUGCAUAACACCCGCCAGUCUAUGAAACCUAGCAGUAGGUUAUAGAUUCCAGGUGUCAUAUCAUCUCAUUGCAAGAAGAGCUACUUCAGUGAAGAAGUUAUUUUGAGAGCAGGGUUUCUCUGUGUAGUCCUGGAUGUCCU